rnacentral:pre_miRNA from 13 species
GCCGUAACAAGUAGGAGGGGGGUGAGAACGGCCUCAUCCAGGAGUUGAUGCCAGUUACCCAGCGCCUAGAUGAUGCCUUUCUUCACCCCCUUCAG